rnacentral:rRNA from 1 species
AGUGAACGCUGGCGGUAGGCCUAACACAUGCAAGUCGAACGGCAGCACAGUAAGAGCUUGCUCUUACGGGUGGCGAGUGGCGGACGGGUGAGGAAUACAUCGGAAUCUACUUUUUCGUGGGGGAUAACGUAGGGAAACUUACGCUAAUACCGCAUACGACCUACGGGUGAAAGCAGGGGAUCUUCGGACCUUGCGCGAUUGAAUGAGCCGAUGUCGGAUUAGCUAGUUGGCGGGGUAAAGGCCCACCAAGGCGACGAUCCGUAGCUGGUCUGAGAGGAUGAUCAGCCACACUGGAACUGAGACACGGUCCAGACUCCUACGGGAGGCAGCAGUGGGGAAUAUUGGACAAUGGGCGCAAGCCUGAUCCAGCCAUACCGCGUGGGUGAAGAAGGCCUUCGGGUUGUAAAGCCCGUUUUGUUGGGAAAGAAAAGCAGCAGGUUAAUACCCCGCUGUUCUGACGGUACCCAAAGAAUAAGCACCGGCUAACUUCGUG